GAUGAAGACCAGGUUUGGUGUAGUCAAAACUGAGUCUCUCUCCCAGCUAUCAUGGAAGUGAAGGAGAAGAGUGGCAAAGGAGACAGGUUGGAUUGGGAAGAUACAUGAGAAUGUACACAGUAGCAGGAGAAAUUUAAUAAGUGCUGGAAUUGUUUGGAUUUAUGAGGUACUCUCAAAUAUGCACCUCUAUUAUAAUAUGUAUCUGACGUGUAUUUCCAAAUAACUUCAAUAGUAAUACUAUGAUGUAAUAUUUACUAAUUUCCAUGAUAGAAGCAUGGUUCUAAGCCUAAUCCUCUCUGGUCCUGCCAUAUCCUUGGGGUUGGGAAGAUUCAGAAGUACAGUAUCCCUAGACACAUCAAAGGAUUUCCUUUGUUUAAUCAAUAUCAUCUGUUACACUUUGGGUAUGAAAGUUCAAGUCAGUGACAGAUGAACGUAAGCAAUAGAUUAAGCAAUCCUGGAGUGCUGUGAAUACUGGUGGGGUCCUGGAACACCGUGGAUGUCAUCAAUAGGUCGUAGAACCCUGCUGAGGCCUUAGUGGUAACUGGUAUCAUACCAACCAGGGUAUCAUACUGAGUGAGCGUUACAAAGGACAGUGAUCUAGUGAACAGAUAGUGUCUUAUUUGCUUUUGGCGGGGGGGGGUGGGGGGAGGGUAAUACAUUUAAUUUCUUAUCUUUACUAAUAAUUCUCUGAGAACAGUCUCAGACUCUUACUUGAUAUCAGCAAUUCUGCGAAGAGUUGAACCAUGAAACAUAAAGAGAAGAAAAAACACCAGCAGAAGAAACCCUUAAAACAACCUGUGAAAAAGUCAAGGGGUACAAGAGGAAAGUUGGAUUUACAAGAUGUUCUGCAGGGUAGAGCCAAGGUGCUGGCCCAUACUCAAGGCCACAAAGUGGCGGACAGUUCUUCCUCACCCUCAGAGGACUUCUCUUAUAAAGACAAAUUCUUGGAUGCAGGUCCUGGAUCCUGCAAGAGGCUUUUAAAUCAAGAUUUGAUGGAGAAGGAGAAUUUCUCCUCCAUGGCACAUUCUCAUUUACCUUCCUCCUUGGCCAAUAACCCCCUAGAGUCUGCAACAUCUACUGAAAAGAAAAGAGUCCUGAAUGUCUACUAUCAGCCUGUCCCAAUGAAAAGGGGUACGGCUUCCUUGGGGGAUACAGAAGAUGAUUUGGAGCCCCCCACAAAGAUGACAAGAAUAGCAAGAAUGACCUUUCCUGAGAAGAUCCCUUCAAAAGCCAGCCUCUCUUCUGUGUGCCUAAGAGAUGUCCUAACUGACAGUGAAAAUGGCCUGCCCGGGGAAGGGCAAGAGGAAAGGGAAGAGGCUGAGAAUCUGGCCCGGGAUUCGGUGCUGGAGGACCUGUACAGUGGCUUCAGGUGCAUGGGCUGCGACCAGGUCUUCCCCAAUAUGCGGAUGCUUAAGAAACACCUGGAGGAUGGGGUUGAGGGUGGUGCUUCAUGCCUUAGUCUUGCAUUUGCCAAACUAAGGAACAAAAUGAAGCAAAGCAAGAGAAUCACAGAGGGGGAGGAUGGGAAUAUGACAACAUCUGGAGGUGAUAUGGAGACACUUGUGAUGUUCUUGUUACUUGUGGCUUUUUGUUUUUUCUUUUACUAUUAUAAUAAAUAGAAAUUAAAUCAUAUGUUUCCGGAAGUAAUAAAUUAGAGACAAUAACACAAGAGGACACCAGAAAACUUUUCCAUCCACAAAAUAGCAGAAAAAAUAAGCAUCUUCACAAGCUAAGCCUUUGGUUAGUUUUUUUCUUUCCAUCUCUGUUCUCUCACCCACAUCAGCCUGCUGUUUCCAGAAUGGGUCUCAAGGUUUGUAUUUACCUUUGGUUUAUUAUUUAUUUUCAUUAGUACAUGUUGGUAGUGCAUAAAGUUUACAGACCUGGGGAGCAAUUGGUACAGGUACGUAACACAUCUUACACUUCCUUUUUAUCAUCCCCUUUCCCUCUCCUCCCACCCCCACCCUCUCCGCCUUUUGAUCUUUUCCCUGUUUAGAAAGAUUUAUCCCUCUUCUUCCUAUCAUCUAUCUUUAUUUUGCUCUUUAUUUAUACUUUGGGUUUCUCAUACAAAAAAAAAUCCAUGUGAUAUGUAAGCUUAUGUGUCUGAUUUAUCUCACUGAACAUUAUGGUCUCAAGAUGCUUUAAUUUUUUUUUUACAAAUGACUCAAGUUUAUCAUUCCUUAUGGUAGAGUAGUACUCAAUUGUGUUUAAAAACCACAUUUAAUUUAUCUAUUCUUCUGUUGAUGGACAUAUGGGCUACUUCCAAUGUUUAGCUAUUAUGAAUUGUGUUGCUGUAUACAUGGGUCUGCAUGGGUCACUGUAAUGUCUUUGACUCUUUGCGAAGACAUCUAGAAGGGGAAUAGCUGGAUCAAGUAGAAUUUCUAGUUUCAGUUUUGUGAGGAAUCUCCAUACUAGUUUUCAGCCCACUUGUCUCUGCCGGAUAUAGGCCACAGGCCAGGGGUUCAUGUGGGCUGUUAGAUUCAAUGUCGUUUGUCAUAGAAAAAGAUUCCCUUCUUUCAACUGUUUUUUCCAUUACUAGGAUGUGUUGUCCAUUCAGAAGCACAGCUAGUACUUAGAGUAGCACUAGUUUGCUUAGGAUGAAUACAAGCUUUUGUAAAUGCCUACCGUCCUUUGCAUGUAUUCACCCAAUACUAUUUCUCAGUAUUCUCCCAGGUUGGCAGAAAUUACAUGACUUUUGCAGUAGCCUAAAAAAUGG
rnacentral:lncRNA from 1 species